ensembl:lncRNA
GAUGUAAAAUUUUAAUAAUAAAUUGUGCCAGUAGAAGCUUUUCAAAGGCAAUGAUACAUCAAUAAAUAAGAGUUAAACCGAGUUCCUGAGAAAGAACCCACCACACGGAGCCUGUCAGAGCCUAAGUAAGAGCACGGCGAGACCGCAGCCCCGGCAGGCUGACGCCCCUGCGGGAGCACUGCGGCCCCCGACGCCGCUCUCACCACGGAAGCCGCACCCGGAGCCUCUGCCGCCGAGACGCCAAGGCACGUGGACGUGUUGGUGCCGAGAUGCACACUAAGUAAUGGAUGUGUCAUGCCAAAAACCUCAAGGAAAAAUAUGUGGAAUAAUAUAAAGGAAAAUAGGACGCGUCCGGUUUUUAAAAAGCAAAAAAGAGAAUUUAACGUUUUACUCAAAUAUAAAUCACUUUAAAUAGGAAUCAUACUACUCGCAGUGGGAAUAUUCUGUGUUAAUCUAUGAGUUAUGUAGACAUCUACACGCCUAGGAAAGUACAUAUGGCUUCAUCACCUUUCUUAUUCCAACCGCCCUGGGAAACGUCCUUCUACAAAGAUGAGAAAAACGUCAUUUUUAAAACCAAGGGAAGACUGACCCUUCGAAGCACACCAGAGACAAGGUGCGGGACCCCGAGGUCACACCCCUCCGCCCGGUGACCCAGGGUCUGGGACACGGCCCCUGCGGGCGCCUGGAGGGCAGGGGGGCUCGGGCACCCUGGCUGGCAAGGCACGCGGAGGUCGGCGUCUGACCUGGGCUUUCUUGGCGGAGCUAAGUUCAUCCCUUUUGACGAAGGCAAGGUUCGUGGAGGACAAACGUCUACGCCUGCCCCCAAAGAGUCCAGUCGCACCCACGACACAGUCACACCACUUCACAGACACACGCGCGCGUUUCCGCAGCGAGACAGGAGGAAGCCGGCCCAGGCCGGCUCCGGCCCAGGCGCCGGGGAAGGACGUGUUCACAGAACCCGCUGUGAACGGCAAGACUCGAUCACGUCCCAACAGGACAAGCCUGUCCCUGCAGCCCUGCGCCGAAGCUGCCACCUGGAAUCGCACCAGCCGGCUCCCCUGCCCACACUUCCUAUCGCACCACAAUAUGCAAAAAGCACAGAGGACAAAACAACAGAAGCAGCUUGCAACGUUCUAUCACAACUUUGAAAUGUGGGAAAAAUAUAAAGCAGAAACAACUGUGCGAAUAAAAUGGCAUCAGUUACAUCACAACAGUGUUAUCUCUUUUUUUUUUACAUUAUUGCACAGAUUUCUUAUCACAUGAUGUUCAGCUUUGAUGUCUUAAAAAAAAAGAAUAAGUGCUGUGGAUAAAAUACAAACGUAGAAAAUAACAGCAGCAUGAUUUGUCAAAACCAAUCCCUAUAAUUUAGUUAGAAAAAUGGCUAUUAAACAAAAUAAGUGCUCUUUCUAAACUGUACUAAUUCUUUAAAAUAUCAUUUUAAUGCAGUGAAGGUCCUCUAAUGUCGCUGCCGUCCUGCCAGGGCCCGUCCUCAUCCACGGGGUCAAAGUUGGACGUGUCCAUGGGGUGGCUGAUGGUGGGCACGUAGGGGGCCGGCUGCCUCCGGAUGUCGCUGGAGAAGUCCACGGGGCCCAGGAACGGGUGGGCCUUCAGGUCGUCGGCCCCGUUGCGGCCCAGGCGACGCUCAGCCGCGCAGCACAGCUUGGCGAUGAGGUCCCGGGCCUCGGGGCUCAGCUCCACCUGCGCCGGGAUGUGCAGCGUGCUCUCCCAGUUAAUCACCUGCGGGGACAGCACACCGGUUUUCCUCCCCCUCACCCCGGCUGACGGCGGCCGGCCCGGGACAGCGUGAGAGCAUGUGAUCUCAACGGCCCUCGAUAUUCGAGAAACACAAAGAGCACAACGAGCCGUCGCCCCACGCGGGUCAAAUGGCCAUCAGCAAAACGACCACGAGUACCAAGUGUUGGUGAGCACGUGGAGACACGGGAGCCCUCGUGCCCUGCUGGUGGGAAGGUCCACUGUGCAGCCAGACUGCAAACAGAACGGACGGUCCUCAAACAGCUCAAAACAGGGCAACUGUAUGAGCCUGCAGAACCACUCCUGGCAUCCAGAAGAGACAAAACCUCGAUUCUGAAAAGAUCCGUGCACCGCUACUUUCACGAUAGCCAAGACGUGGCAGCCACCUAAGUGUCCACCCACAGAGGAAGGGCUUAAGAAGAGGAAUGGAAUACCACGCAGCCAUAAAAAAGAAUGAAACAAUCCCACUCGAAGUAACCUAGAUGAACCUAGGGACUGAUUAUCAUCCUUAGUGAAGUCAGUUCAGACAAAGACAAGUACCACAUUGUACCACUGCUACGUGCAAUCUAGAAAAACAUAAUAAAAUGAACUUACAAAACAGAACCAGACUCACAGACAUGCAACAAGGACCUACUGAAGAGCACAGGGAACUGCCCUGUGUCUUGUAAUAACCUGAGACAGCACAGAACCUGGAAACACCACACAACUGAAUCACUCUGUGUACACGUGAAACAAACACAUACCAUAAACCAACUACACGUCAAUCUAAAAAUUUUUAAUAUCAAAGUAAGACUUUGAUAGUUUCCCUUCGGGAAAAGAGAAGAGACAGAGAAGGACGUGAACAGCUAAUGGCCCGCGUGGUUUUAGCAGGAGGCCCACAGCCUGAGGAACGGGGUGCGAGAGACACCCUCGGUUCCCGACACUCAAGCACACAGAGCAGCCUGGGUCACGGUCAGGUUCCCUGUGAAGAGGACGCCUCGGGGACUUCUUUUUGUUCCUUCCCGGCUGCACGCGCAGCAUGUGGCAGUUCCUGGGCCAGGGGGUCACCCCUGCGCCUCGGCAGCGAGCCCAGCCACAGCAGGGACAGCGCCAGAUCCUUCACCUGCUGCGCCACAAGGGAACUCCGAAAACGUUGUUUUUCUUUUCUAAGGGACUUCCUGUUUACACCCGGAGUCAGGAUGAACCAAGGCCACAUGAGUGGGGUGGCGCGAGGGUGGAGCGGGGGUACGAGGGAUGGUUGGAACCUGAGUAGUUGUUUACUGGAGCUGAAGUUAUAAAACUCAGAGAAGAAAACAGAGAGGAGGAUCUCCACGAUGGUGGAUCUGGCCCUGAUUUCUUGGAUAUGACACCAAAAGCACAGGCAAUAAAACACAAAAACACAUAAUGGACUCAACAAAAUUUCAACUUUGUACGCAUCAAAAUCAGCAGAGCGAAAAGGCAACCCAUGGAAGGGAGACUGAUGCCCAGUGUAGAUGUGACAUAGGAUUAACGUCAGGAAUACAAGAAGAACUCAACAACAAACCCCCAAACCACCUGAUCAAAAAAGGGCAAAGGAGGAGUUCCUGCAGUGGCAGAGCAGAAACAAAUCUGGCCAGGAACCAUGAGGCUGUGGUUCGAUCCCUGGCCUCGCCCAGUGGGUUAAGGAUCCGGCGUUGCCCUGAGCUGUGGUGGAGGUCGCAGAUGC